rnacentral:lncRNA from 1 species
CUUAAAAUACAUCAGGUAUCCAGUUAAGCCAAGAAAAAUUAAUAGUGUAAAACAAUUCGAAUAGGAAAACCAACGGUCUAUAGUAAUCUAAUAGAAUAUAUAAAAACGAAAAACAGUUAUGAACCACAUCAAUAAACGACAACCACCGAACAACAGGUUCCAGACUUAGGACAUGGGCAAACAAAUGCGGCGGGUUUUAACAGGC